rnacentral:lncRNA from 1 species
UGAUCCACGUAUGUGUGAGUGAGGAACAAUAUGCUUGUUAUCUGAUGCUACUGAGAUUUGGGGGAUGUUUAUUAGCCAGCAGUAGCUGACUAGUAGAUCUAUUAUAUUCAUGUCAUCUAUUGCUUCCACCCAAAAUCAUUCUCGACAAAUAAAAGGUAACAUAGGAAGAGCACUUGGUACCCAUGAAGUGCUCAAUAAGUACCCAUGGCUUUCUUUUCCGUCUUCCACACAGUAUCAUUUCUGCAAAAGGAAGACAUUUCCUUGACUGCUCUGUGGCUCUUUUUUUAAUGGGUUUUCAUACCAAAUUCAACGAUUCCCAUUAUGCCUAUUAUUCCAGACACAAAGAAACAGAUUAGAGUGAGUCCUUAGCAACAGGACUGUGAAGUUACAAUUCAAAGAACUUAGAUUUCUGAUAUCAUAUUAAUAGCUAUAACCAAAAGAUUUUUUUUUAUGGGAAACGUCAAAAUACUGCCAUUGUUCGGUCUCAAGAAGCAGGGACUUAAAUCAGCCUGUGACGUUCCCCUUUGAUUUUUUUUUUAAUUUUUUUUUUAGUUGUAGAUGAACACAAUCUCUUUAUUUUUGUAUUUAUUUUUAUGCAGUGCUGAGGCUCAAACCCAGUGCCUCACACGUGGGAGGCAAGUGUUUUACCAGCGAGAGCCCCAGCCCCUGACAUUUUAUUUUUAUUUUACGUUAUUUAUUUGUGUGUGUGUGUGUGUGUGAACCUUUUCUCUGUUUCUGAGGCUGCCGUAUAAGGCACCUGCCUUGUGACGGUCACUUGCUGCUGGCCAAUGCUCGGACCAAACUGCAAAGAUUGCUUUCCUAGCAGAUGCGGAUCCUACCCAGUGACUGCCUGGACCUCCCUGAAGGACCGAGAGCUGAGUGCACGUGAGUUCAGGGCCCUGUCCUGCUGAGUGCACGUGAGUUCAGGGCCCUGUCCUUGGACAGCUGUCUUUCGGGAGGUUGGGGAAUAGAGCUGAUUUUGUGUGUGUGUGUGUGUGUCCGUGUGUGUGUGUGCGUGCGACAGAAUAAUAAUUUAUAGUAUUUAUUGAUUUGUGCGAUUUUUUUAAUUUAAAAAGAUUUUACAUUAAUGCUAAGUCCCAAAACAAAAAUCAGAGUUUCUUGGUAAAUUUUUAAAAAUGGAAGCCGUACAGGCCUAGCCAACUGUAAUUUUUUUUUUAAUUUUUUAAUUCUAAUUUUAACAGUGGAAGCUGAGCUGCUCAGUCAAGGGCAGGCGGCCAUCUCAACGUGCAGCUGGUGUGUGUGGCCCAAGGAAUAGCCGCGUCAGCAUCACUCUGGAGCCAGAUAGCUAGCCGUGUGGCUUUAGAAAACAGUAGGGCCACUCCUCCCUGUUACCCGGCAGUUCCAAUUCUGGGUUUAUUCCCAAGGGAAGUGGGAGGGGGGCGGGGGACUCCAAGGGAUAUUGUACACCCGUGUUUGUGGCAGCCCUGGUCACAAUAGCCAAAAGGUACUCUGGGCAUGUGACGCACACUGGCUAAUCAGUAAUCAACGGAUGAACACAGACAAACAAAGUGCAGCUUAUCCGUAUGGAAUACUAUUCAGCUCUCACAGGAAGGAAAUUCUGCCAGCAGUGAUGGUGCACGCCUGUAAUCCCAGCGACCCCGGAGGCUGAGACAGGAGGAUCACAAGUUGGAGGCCAGCCUCAGCAAUUUAGCAAGAUCCUCAGAUUUAGUGAGAUCCAGUCUCUCUCUCUGGGCUAAGGAAAUCACCUUGUUAGCAGUAAGGUUCAGUAACUAUAAAUGCACCACCUCUCCAGUUGACCACACUUACCCCUCUGCCUUCUGUUUUAAUCCUGCAUUAUUAGACUUUUUUUCUUGGUUAGAAAAGCUUUUAAAUAAUAUUUCAGGGAUCCAUGCUGUAGCUCAGUGGUAUCAUCAUUCUGCCAAACGGGCUCCGUACUUUUUUCAAGGACCAACUUGAUUUUUACAAUGAAACCAGCUAUUUUUCCUUUUUACCCCUCUCUGCCUUCCUGAAGGUAAAUACUGUCUGCCGACGAGGAGACCGAUGGAUAGUAAAGGACCCUGAGUUUUCCGAGGCCAGCAGGGUCGUCUCUUACUCCCGUCAAACCCUGAGUUGGAUCCACACCUGAGUUUAUGCUAAUGAGGUGUCUUAGGGUGGGGCUCCUAGGUAGCUCGAGGGUGGGACCGGCUACCUGAAAGAACACAGAUGAUUGGCUGGUGAGAAGUUUCAGCCCCACCCACCAACUUCGGGAGGGGCGAGGGACUGGAGGUGGAGCUCUGAAAACGGAGGACGGGUGCCCAGGGAGGUCCCUGAAGCUCCCACCACCACCGUGUGCGCCCUGCCCUACUUCUCUCUUCCGCCUGGCAGUUCCUGGGUUAUAGCCUAUAUAAUAAAACGGCAGGCUUGAGUGGAGGCUGAGCUUUUGCGAACCAUUCUAACUAGUUAUCAGACUUGGAGAGGGUCGUGGGAACCCCCGAAUUUACAGCCAUCAGUCAGGAGUCAGGGUGGCCUGGGCCUGUGGCUGGCCUCUGAAUUGGGGUGGUCUGUGGGACUGAGCCCCUUUCCUGUGUGGGAUCUGGUGCCAACCCCGGGUGGUGGGAGCACGGGGUUGAGCUGUGCCCUGCUCUGGGUCCCUCAGGGUCGUGAUGGUCAGCAGUUUCCUGCUGGGCCCAGCCCCGGGUCACUCCGUUUCAUAAGGCAGCAGUCUGCCCUGAGCUAGGGUAUUUUAAGUGCAAGUUCUAAGACAGGGGACUUGGUAACUUGUCCAGGAGAGUAGACACCACCUGAUGUUGGACAUCAGAACUCAUCAAAAAAGAACAGACCCCAGGGGCACAGCAGGAUCCUAAGGCACAGGCUGAUAAUAAUGUAAUUGCCACCUGUGCACAUAUCAAAUUGAAUAAAUCCCAAGUGCAAGGGCACUUGGGCAUAUCAGAUCAUACCAGGGAUACCAGAGAUGCAAACUCAUCAAACACCUAUGAAACCCCUCACCUAAGACUCAUAAAAAGAAGAGGCAUCUCAGUCUGCAGUGUGACAAGCUGACCUGUCCCCUGGUCACUGGGGGGGGGACACCUUGCCCAGGAGAU